UGAACGCUAGCUACAGGCUUAACACAUGCAAGUCGAGGGGAAACGAUAGAGAAAGCUUGCUUUUUCUAGGCGUCGACCGGCGCACGGGUGAGUAACGCGUAUCCAACCUGCCCAUCACUUGGGGAUAACCUUGCGAAAGUAAGACUAAUACCCAAUGAUAUCCGUCGAAGACAUCUGAAGUGGAUUAAAGAUUUAUCGGUGAUGGAUGGGGAUGCGUCUGAUUAGCUUGUUGGCGGGGUAACGGCCCACCAAGGCGACGAUCAGUAGGGGUUCUGAGAGGAAGGUCCCCCACAUUGGAACUGAGACACGGUCCAAACUCCUACGGGAGGCAGCAGUGAGGAAUAUUGGUCAAUGGACGAGAGUCUGAACCAGCCAAGUAGCGUGCAGGAUGACGGCCCUAUGGGUUGUAAACUGCUUUUAUAAGGGAAUAAAGUGAGCCUCGUGAGGCUUUUUGCAUGUACCUUAUGAAUAAGGACCGGCUAAUUCCGUGCCAGCAGCCGCGGUAAUACGGAAGGUCCGGGCGUUAUCCGGAUUUAUUGGGUUUAAAGGGAGCGUAGGCCGGAGAUUAAGCGUGUUGUGAAAUGUAGAUGCUCAACAUCUGAACUGCAGCGCGAACUGGUUUCCUUGAGUACGCACAAAGUGGGCGGAAUUCGUGGUGUAGCGGUGAAAUGCUUAGAUAUCACGAAGAACUCCGAUUGCGAAGGCAGCUCACUGGAGCGCAACUGACGCUGAAGCUCGAAAGUGCGGGUAUCGAACAGGAUUAGAUACCCUGGUAGUCCGCACGGUAAACGAUGGAUGCCCGCUGUUGGUCUGAAUAGGUCAGCGGCCAAGCGAAAGCAUUAAGCAUCCCACCUGGGGAGUACGCCGGCAACGGUGAAACUCAAAGGAAUUGACGGAAG
rnacentral:rRNA from 1 species